UACGGAGGGUGCAAGCGUUAUCCGGAUUUACUGGGCUUAAAGGGUGCGUAGGCGGGUCGGUAAGUCAGUGGUGAAAUCUUCGAGCUUAACUCGGAAACUGCCAUUGAUACUAUCGAUCUUGAAUUAUCUGGAGGUAAGCGGAAUAUGUCAUGUAGCGGUGAAAUGCUUAGAUAUGACAUAGAACACCCAUUGCGAAGGCAGCUUACUGCGGAUAUAUUGACACUGAGGCUCGAAAGCGUGGGGAUCAAACAGG
rnacentral:rRNA from 1 species